rnacentral:rRNA from 1 species
GAUGAACGCUGGCGGCGUGCCUAAUACAUGCAAGUCGAGCGAACAGACGAGGAGCUUGCUCCUCUGACGUUAGCGGCGGACGGGUGAGUAACACGUGGAUAACCUACCUAUAAGACUGGGAUAACUUCGGGAAACCGGAGCUAAUACCGGAUAAUAUAUUGAACCGCAUGGUUCAAUAGUGAAAGACGGUUUUGCUGUCACUUAUAGAUGGAUCCGCGCCGCAUUAGCUAGUUGGUAAGGUAACGGCUUACCAAGGCAACGAUGCGUAGCCGACCUGAGAGGGUGAUCGGCCACACUGGAACUGAGACACGGUCCAGACUCCUACGGGAGGCAGCAGUAGGGAAUCUUCCGCAAUGGGCGAAAGCCUGACGGAGCAACGCCGCGUGAGUGAUGAAGGUCUUCGGAUCGUGAAACUCUGUUAUUAGGGAAGAACAAAUGUGUAAGUAACUAUGCACAUCUUGACGGUACCUAAUCAGAAAGCCACGGCUAACUACGUG